AUGAAGAUCAUGGACUUCCGAUACAAAUUACAGCAGCCUGGGCGACAGAACAAGACUCUGUCUCCAAAAUAAAUAAAUAAAUAAAAUAUUUCUCAAGGAUUCAGAUUUGGGGAUUUUACUGCCAAGUAGCCUGGCUUUCUCAUUAUUGAUUAACCUACAAAGAAAAAUUUGAUAUAUCUGAUGAAAAUCAGUUAUAUUGUACCUACAAAAACAUCUCUUCCAUAUUACUUGAUGUAUUUUAAUGUCACUGAAUCCAUUGGUUUAUCUUUAUCUCUUAGAAGCUCUUAAAGUCACAGGAAUUCUAGUCCAUAUGAUCAGAUUAACCAAAAAUUCAGGCAGCUACUCCGUUCAAACAGGAAAGAAAAAACUGAAAAUGAAUUGUUGUAUUGAAUCUGCUUUUUCACAAGAGACAACUAGGCGUAAUGGUUCUGAGCGUGGGUUAGAAAUUGGGCAAGUCGCGUUCACAUUCUUUUACUACCUUGAAGAGAAGUCUCUGCCUCCAUCUCAUCUCUAGAAAGAUGGGAAUAAUAUAGCUUGUGUCAGCAUGAUUGGGGGAUUGAAGGAGAUGAUGUCUGUGAAGAGUUUAGCACAGUGCCUCCUACAUCAGAAGUGCUUGACACGUGUCUGGCUCUUGCUUCUCCAGGAAGGAGAGGAGGGGAGAAGAGAGAGUUUGCAGGGCCGUAGUUAUUCAAGUAGUUACAGCUAUCUCUUCUUUCUGGUCACACUGCUGGGUAAUUUGUUCUUGAAAAGUGUCUCAAGAUGACUGCUCCCACUUAGUAGCUGGAAAAUCACAUCCUUCCAGAAAGGGAUCUAGAGGGCAGACAUGGGUGAAGUGUACAUUGUUAGAGGGCUGACUGGAAAUAAUCAGUGCAGAGAUCACUGUGGGCAGAGCCACAGCCUUCAGGUCCUAUAAAGGGCAGAACGAUAGGAAUAAUCUACUGCAUAGGAAAACCAAAGAAAAGAAGGAGGACGAAAAACACUCUGGGGAGGAAAAAAUAAUUGGGGUUCACUACUGGGAUAUCUUUCCCUCUGCUAGAAGAUCCUUCAUACAUAAUGAAUCACAGUUUGGAAAUGGAGCCUUUGAAAAAAAAUCCUUACACAACUGGUAAGAGAGAAGUCUCAUACCAGCCACUGAAUUUUUGCAGAAAUUUGGGCCUCCCUCCGCAAGUGUACUUUCAGACUCAAAUUCCUCCAGCAUCCAGGACCUCUUGAUUAACUAUGUACUCUCAAUAAAGAGAAAAAGAUGAGACCUCUGGGAAGCAAGAAUUGGUAGAAGCUGGGCCUGGUACAGUGGCUCACACCUGUCACCCCAGCACUUUGGGAGGCCAAGGUGGGUGGAUCACUUGAGGCCAGGAGUUUGAGACCAGCCUGGGCAACAUGGCGAAGCCUAUCUCUACUAAAAUUACAAAAAAACUAGCCAGGUAUGGUGGCGUACACCUGUAAUCCCAGCUACAGCAGGAGGCUGAGGCACGAGAAUCACUUGAACCCAGGAGGCGGAGGUUACAUUGAGCCAAGAUUGUGCCACUGCACUCCAGCCUGGGUGACAGAGAGAGACUCUGUCUUAAAAAAAAAAAAAAGAAAAAGAUGCUGAAAUGUAUCAAAACCAGCCUACUCGUCAUCCUCUUUUAAAAGAAAAAGAUGAGUAAACCAUCGCAUUACUCAUUAGGAUGUUACCAGAUAUGUGAGUUGGUCAGAGGGACUCCUAGCUACAAGUAGAAGGAGUCCACUCUACCAUUGACUGUGUGCAAAGUAGCACAUUUUAUCUACCUUUUUAAGAUACUCGGCCGGAUGCAGUGGCUCACGCCUGUAAUCCCAGCACUCUGGGGGGCUGAGGCAGGCAGAUCACCUGAGGUCAGGAGUUCAAGACCAUCCUGGCCAACUUAGUGAAACCCUGUCUCUGCUAAAAAUACAAAAAUUAGCCAGAUGUCGUGGCACGCACCUGUAGUCCCAGCUACUUGGGAGACUGAGGCCUGAGAAUCGCUUGAACCUGGGAGAUGGAGUUUGCAGUGAGCCAAGAUCAUGUCACUACACUCCAGCCUGGGUAAGAGAGUGAGACUCUGUCUU
rnacentral:lncRNA from 1 species